CCUCAAAUCAGGUAGGACUACCCGCUGAACUUAAGCAUAUCAUAAAGCGGAGGAAAAGAAACUAACAAGGAUUCCCCUAGUAACUGCGAGUGAAGCGGGAAAAGCUCAAAUUUAAAAUCUGGCGGUCUUUGGUCGUCCGAGUUGUAAUCUAGAGAAGUGUUAUCCGCGUUGGACCGUGUACAAGUCUCCUGGAAUGGAGCAUCAUAGAGGGUGAGAAUCCCGUCUUUGACACGGACUACCAGUGCUUUGUGAUGCGCUCUCAAAGAGUCGAGUUGUUUGGGAAUGCAGCUCUAAAUGGGUGGUAAAUUCCAUCUAAAGCUAAAUAUUGGCGAGAGACCGAUAGCGAACAAGUACCGUGAGGGAAAGAUGAAAAGAACUUUGGAAAGAGAGUUAGACAGUACGUGAAAUUGCUGAAAGGGAAACGCUUGAAGUCAGUCACGUUGGCUAGAAAUCAACCUUGCUUUUGCUGGGCGUACUUUCUGGUCAACGGGUCAGCAUCAAUUUUGACCAUUGGAAAAAGUUCAGAGGAAUGUGGCAUCUUCGGGUGUGUUAUAGCCUCUGUUCGCAUACAAUGGUUGGGAUUGAGGAUCUCAGCACGCCGCAGGGCCGGGUUUCGACCACGUUCGUGCUUAGGAUGCUGGCAUAAU
rnacentral:rRNA from 1 species